rnacentral:tRNA from 1 species
GCCGAAGUGGCGGAACUGGCAGACGCGCCGGACUCAAAAUCCGGUGGGGGUCACCCCCCCGUGUGGGUUCGAUUCCCACCUUCGGCACCA